ACUUUCCUUGUCAUGGGGUUGCCUGGGAGACUCAAUGAGCGUCUAGUGAGAGUCUCCUUGCUGACACCAUAUCAACACAUACGCGCCACCUGAGCCUCGCGCUCGGACACUGGUGCAAUUUUUGGAAAC